rnacentral:rRNA from 1 species
UACGUAGGGGGCGAGCGUUGUCCGGAUUUAUUGGGUGUAAAACGCUUGUAGGUGGCUACGUCAAGUCGGACGUGAAAUCUCCCGGCUUAACUGGGAGGGGUCGCUCGAUACUGGCGAGCUCGAGGCAGGUAGGGGGAAGCGGAAUUCCCGGUGUAGUGGUGGAAUGCGUAGAUAUCGGGAGGAACACCAGUGGCGAAGGCGGCUUCCUGGACCUGUUCUGACACUGAGGAGCGAAAGCGUGGGGACCGAUCCGG